rnacentral:rRNA from 1 species
CCUACGGGUGGCAGCAGGGAGGAAUAUAGGUCAAUGGGCGGGAGACUGAACCAGCCAAGCCGCGUGAGGGAUGAAGGUACAGAGUAUCGUAAACCUCUUUUGUCAGGGAACAAAGGCGGGGACGUGUCCCCGGAUGAGUGUACCUGAAGAAAAAGCGUCGGCUAACGCCGUGCCAGCAGCCGCGGUAAUCCGGAGGAUGCGAGCGUUAGCCGGAUUUAUUGGGUUUAAAGGUUGCGAGGGCGGUUGGUUAAGUCAGCGGUAAAAGCCCGGGGCUCAACCCCGGCCCGCCGUUGAACGUGGCAGUCUCGAGUUGGAGAGAAGUAUGCGGAAUGCGCGGUGGAGCGGUGAAAUGCAUAGAUAGCACGCAGAACUCCGAUUGCGAAGGCAGCAUACCGGCGCCCAACUGACGCUGAAGCACGAAAGCGUGGGUAUCGAACAGGAUUAGAUACCCUAGUAGUC